rnacentral:ncRNA from 1 species
CGUCAAGCGAGGAAUCAAGGUAGAUCCAGUAAGAGGGACGAAGUCGUAACAAGGCACGCGUAGCGGAAGCUGUGCGUGGAUCACUACAAUU